rnacentral:rRNA from 1 species
UACGGAGGGUGCAAACGUUGCUCGGAAUUAUUGGGCGUAAAGCGCACGUAGGCGGCCGAUUAAGUCGGGUGUGAAAGCCCUGGGCUCAACCCAGGAAGUGCACUCGAAACUGGACGGCUUGAAUAUGGAAGAGGGUCGCGGAAUUCCCGGUGUAGAGGUGAAAUUCGUAGAUAUCGGGAGGAACACCAGUGGCGAAGGCGGCUCACUGGUCCAUAACUGACGCUGAGGCACGAAAGCGUGGGGAGCAAACAGGG